ACUGCAGACAGCAAGGGCUGGAGGACACACACGUGGCUCAGCAGGACCAGGGCCCCUCCAAAGGCCACUUUAACCCUUCAGGACACCAGGCUGGCAGGUUCCAGGCCUUGGAUUUCUCUCUUCCCCCACCCACCCAUCGGCCGCUGCUGCAGUUGCCCAAAGAUCAGCCAAGCUUUGCUGAUUGCUGGUGGCCUCCAGCACAAGCCCAGUGGGAUUUUCUGGUGGCUGCUGGGAGUGUGUCUCUGUCCUGCUGUGGAACCUUCCUUGGAAAAUGGAGCAGGAUCCAUUGAGCUGCCUGCAAAGACAGGGCACGGAGAGAGAGCUGCCUGUGCCCGGCACCAGCGCCGAGACCCGUUGUAAUGGGGGAGUCUCAAGGGAAGGGGAUGAAAAUUGAACUUGCCAGAAUGGAAUUAAAGAGCUGGUGAUUUACACCUAAAAAUA